ACUAAACUCAAUCACAACAACCGUAACCACC
rnacentral:sRNA from 1 species